UACGGAGGAUGCAAGCGUUAUCCGGAAUGAUUGGGCGUAAAGCGUCCGCAGGUGGCUAUGUAAGUCUGCUGUUAAAGGGUGAGGCUCAACCUCAUAAAAGCAGUGGAAACUACAUGGCUAGAGUGCGUUCGGGGCAGAGGGAAUUCCUGGUGUAGCGGUGAAAUGCGUAGAGAUCAGGAAGAACACCGGUGGCGAAAGCGCUCUGCUAGGCCGCAACUGACACUGAGGGACGAAAGCUAGGGGAGCGAAUGGG
rnacentral:rRNA from 1 species